UACGUAGGGUGCAAGCGUUGUCCGGAAUUAUUGGGCGUAAAGAGCUCGUAGGCGGUUGUCGCGUCUGCUGUGAAAACCCGAGGCUCAACCUCGGGCCUGCAGUGGGUACGGGCAGACUAGAGUGCGGUAGGGGAGAUUGGAAUUCCUGGUGUAGCGGUGGAAUGCGCAGAUAUCAGGAGGACACCAAUGGCGAAGGCAGAUCUCUGGGCCGUAACUGACGCUGAGGAGCGAAAGCAUGGGGAGCGAACAGG
rnacentral:rRNA from 1 species